AUUCAGUGUGUGUGUGUGUGUAAGUGUUCAGAUAUAUGUGUGCACUCAUGCUUAUGGGGGCCAAAGACUGAUAUUAGUUGUCUUCCUGAUCACUCUCUGUUUUAUUUACUGAUGCAGGGUAACUGGAGCUUGCCAGUUCAGGCUGGUCAAGCUAGCCAGCUUGCCUAGCAGAUGCCCUGGGGCCUCUGCCUCCCAAGCACUGGGAUUACAGAUGCCAACAGAGUUCAUCUAGGAGUGUUCUGAAGACAGUGUGGAUUUGGACAGAUGAAGACACAUUCUGGUUGUGUCGAGGGCAUCCCAGAUGAACUACACAUUAGGGACAGAAAACUCAGGAAGACA